GACGAACGCUGGCGGCGUGCUUAACACAUGCAAGUCGUACGGUAAGGCCCUUUCGGGGGUACACGAGUGGCGAACGGGUGCGUAACACGUGAGUAACCUGCCCACAACUUUGGGAUAAGGCUAGGAAACUGGUGCUAAUACUGGAUAUGUGCUCCUGCUGCAUGGGGGGGGUUGGAAAGCUCCGGCGGGUGUGGAUGGACUCGCGGCCUAUCAGCUUGUUGGUGGGGUAAUGGCCUACCAAGGCGGCUACGGGCAGCCGGCCUGAGAGGGUGACCGGCCACAUUGGGACCGAGAGACGGCCCAGACUCCUACGGGACGCAGCAGUGGGGAAUAUUGCACAAUGGGCGCAAGCCUGAUGCAGAAACGCCGCGUGCGGGAUGACGGCCUUCGGGUUGUAAACCGCUUUCAGCAGGGACGAAGCUUUUUGUGACGGUACCUGCAGAAGAAGCACCGGCUAACUACGUG
rnacentral:rRNA from 1 species